UUGGUUUGUACAACUCAAUAUGAGUAGGAAGAAUAUGAUUUUUAAAUGCUAGAAUACUCACUUGGCAAUAUUUAAAAUUGACUAUUGUCUCUAAAAAUACAUAAUUUUUAGCCUGUCAAGUCACAAUUAUAGUUGGGCUAAGUAGCUGUUUAAGUCUCUCUCUCAUCUAAAAAAUUUGUAGAAUAUUUAAUAUUAAAUACCUCUUCUAAUUUAUGUAUUUCUAAUGUACUUUGCAAAUACAACACAGAAGUAACAAUGAGCAGUAUUCUGUAUGAUGGCACAUAUAUGAAUUUAUUUUGGUAUAUUCUGUAAAUAUUUAUAUGCAGGCAAAACCAGUUUGUGUCUCAUAGCAUUUAGAUGAAUGUUUAUUGGCCAAACUGCCGUAGUAAAGAGGCUACUUGCAAUAUUCUGGUGUAGCAAAGUGAAGUUUGUGGGAAUUGGAAGGCCAGAGUAUCCUCAACUAUUGAUCAUUGUAGAGUUCCUGGGACUCAACAUCUUCCGGGACUGGGUCUGAAAGUAAUAAAAUAAUAAUCAUGAAUCACUAGUAAAAGUUCAGUUGCAAUACCAGUUUUUGCCAUUAUCACUUAAGGGUGCAUUAAGUAUUUAGGGAAAGAUUAGGUCGUGAUUACAAAUUAUGGCACAAGCAUUCUGAUAGACUUUGUGUUCUGUUUUAUUUUAAGGUUUUGCAUUACCCAUCAUACCUGAUGUUGUUCCGCAAAAGAAGGAUCAAUGCAUGUAGUAUCUAUUGGAUGCAGAAAUUUCUGCUGGGAUGGAGAAAGAAAAGUUUGCAGAAGAAGUUGUCACAAAGACAAAUGAGCUUAAGAGACUAAGAAGAGAGCCAUAUAAUUUGAAGUUCACAAAGACAGCAAUCAACAAAGCAGCAGAAUUAUAGAUGAGGAACUGUUCUGUGGAAACAUUGCAAAUAGGUGAUCUCCAUUAUGAAUGCUCCAAUCCAAGAGAUGAGAAUGCUAUUUAUGCAAGCAGCAUGGAAAUUUGGGGUUCUUUAAAAACAAAGAGAAUUUUGAGAACAGUUGAAACAGAAUGAGCAAUGGAGGUCUGGCUAAUACAUCGAUCUGGGCUGUCAAGCUGAGGGUUGAUCUGAAGGUGUUUAAAAUGUGUCUGCAUUUCCUGCAUAACUGCAUCCAACUCAUUAAGGACAUGAAGCUCUGUUGAGAGGUGAUAACUCACGAGAAGUGUUUUGCACGGCAUGAUGGAGAAAGAUGAGAGUGCCAUCACCCUGUGAGCACCAUGGGCAGGGAGUUGGAGCACAUGCACAGGAGGAGGAGAGGGCAAGGUCUCCUGUGCUUUCCAGUGCCCCAGCAAAAUGCGGCUGCUCCACAAGAAUAGGGACCCUGCAGAGGAGGCAGUGCCAGGAGUGUCUGAGAGAGCAGAGAAGGACCACAGCAUGUGGCUUGGAGAUGCUUUGAAUAGGUUUUCUUCAAGGUUAACCAUGUCAGUGUAAUUCAAGAUAAGAGUUCUUACUUACUGGAGGACCAGGUGGACCAGGUAAGCCACUGUCACCCUUCUGAC